rnacentral:tRNA from 1 species
GGCGGAACUGGUAGAACUGCUUACGGCAGUCAGGCGCGCUGGACUCAAAACCUGCCCGCCGUAGGAGGGUCCAGUGUUGGUCCCGCUCUAGAGCGGGAUGCGGGUUCGAGUCCCGCC